AUAACGUUUGGAAACGAACGCUAAUACCGCAUAAAAUAUCGGAGUCGCAUGGCACUGAUAUCAAAGGAGCAAUCCGCUGAAAGAUGGGCUCGCGUCCGAUUAGGCAGUUGGCGGGGUAACGGCCCACCAAACCGACAAUCGGUAGCCGGACUGAGAGGUUGAACGGCCACAUUGGGACUGAGACACGGCCCAGACUCCUACGGGAGGCAGCAGUGGGGGAUAUUGCACAAUGGGGGAAACCCUGAUGCAGCGAUGCCGCGUGAAUGAAGACGGCCUUCGGGUUGUAAAGUUCUGUCGCAGGGGACGAAAAUGACGGUACCCUGCAAGAAAGCUCCGGCUAACUACGUGCCAGCAGCCGCGGUAAUACGUAGGGAGCAAGCGUUGUCCGGAAUUACUGGGUGUAAAGGGAGCGUAGGCGGGAGGAUAAGUUGAAUGUGAAAUCUAUGGGCUCAACCCAUAGCUGCGUUCAAAACUGUUCUUCUUGAGUGAAGUAGAGGCAGGCGGAAUUCCUAGUGUAGCGGUGAAAUGCGUAGAUAUUAGGAGGAACACCAGUGGCGAAGGCGGCCUGCAGGGCUUUUACUGACGCUGAGGCUCGAAAGCGUGGGUAGCAAACAGGAUUAGAUACCCUGGUAGUCCACGCGGUAAACGAUGAUUAGUAGGUGUGGGUGGACUGACCCCAUCCGUG
rnacentral:rRNA from 1 species